rnacentral:rRNA from 1 species
UACGUAGGGUGCAAGCGUUAAUCGGAAUUACUGGGCGUAAAGCAUGCGCAGGCGGUUCUAUAAGACAGAUGUGAAAUCCCCGGGCUCAACCUGGGAACUGCAUUUGUGACUGUAGAGCUGGAGUACGGUAGAGGGGGAUGGAAUUCCGCGUGUAGCAGUGAAAUGCGUAGAUAUCGGAAGGAACAUCAGUGGCGAAAGCGGCUUCCUGGUCCAGCACCGACGUUCAGGCACGAAAGCGUGGGGAGCAAACAGG